rnacentral:misc_RNA from 1 species
CCGUAGGGGGCUUUUGCCCCCGGCUCCAUAUAACCCUUGUCUAUGAGAACCCUCGUUUCCUCGGCAGGUCCGCCUGCCAAUGGGGACAACACCAAACCUUUUUGCAGUAGUAGUAACCGUAAAUAAACAAAAAAUCA